AUGACAUGGGAAAUGGUGGAUUCAAAAUCUUUAUCUAGCAAAUUCAGGAGUCCCUUGGCCAAGAUUCUGCACUAUUCGUGACAGGUGAGGGCGCGAUGCUGUGAUUAAGAGGGAAAUUCGUGGAAGUUCACACUGCUAGUUAUUGUGGACUUUUAUCAUACAAACUUGAAUUGUUUGCUGUGUUUGCUUGUGUAAUAUGUUUCAAGCCUAAGAAUAAAUCUUGUGAGACCUUUGUAUUUGUCUAUGUUUGUUGCUGCAACAAUGUUUCAAACAUAACACUAAAUCAUGUGAGACCUUUGUAUUUGCUUGUGUAAUACUAUUGAAAUCCUUUUCUCUUU